UGGCGGACGGGUGAGUAACACGUGGGUAACCUGCCUCAUACAGGGGGAUAACAGUUGGAAACGGCUGCUAAUACCGCAUAAGCGCACAGUACCGCAUGGUACGGUGUGAAAAACUCCGGUGGUGUGAGAUGGAUCCGCGUCUGAUUAGCCAGUUGGCGGGGUAACGGCCCACCAAAGCGACGAUCAGUAGCCGACCUGAGAGGGUGACCGGCCACAUUGGGACUGAGACACGGCCCAA
rnacentral:rRNA from 1 species